CUCAUGUCUCCCUAAGUGACUUUUAAUUUGCUGCAGCUGUGAAUGGUUCUGGGCAGUUAAUUUUGAGCCAAUCGCGAGGGCUACACCUCUUUUAUAAACCGGGACUUUUAUUUUGACAAAUGGUGUUACCGGUACGCGUCCUGUUUACCUGCCCAGCGACCUGAUGUCUGCCUGGUUAUCGGUCUACCGAAGUGCCGCGAAAUCCCCUGUGCGGCAGCAGCCCUUUCACAAGCUGAGUGUGCGCCCUGUGACCAGCAAUCAGAGCUCAGGGCCUGUGAUAAUCAUAGGGAGUGCUAAUUAACCGGGGGUGCAGCCGCAAGUUGGCUACAUCGACGCUGAACAUCUGCUGCUUUGCUUGACCAUCUUUCAUGUUGCGUGUUGCUCACGGGCUUUCUCCGCUGUACCAGGCUGCCUCUUUUCACGGGAUUUACGAUUAUGGGAUCCGUGGCUGACUCAAGCUAGCGAGUGUCUGGCCUGUUUCAAUGUUGCUUGCUGGACUCAGUUGGAUUUCUCCUACCUCUCUGUGUUGUGAAUGUUUGAGUAAUGUUGUAAAACGUGGUUGAUGUAUUGGCAUCAUUUCUUUUCGUUUGUUUUGUUCUUUUUAUUGGUUAAAGUUGUUUGUGUGUGUUUAUUUUAUUCACACUGUUGUCUGGAGGCCUUUCCCCCUCUGCUGAUGUUCAAGGGGAUUGGCCCAUUUGUUAUGAUUGUUUUUGUUUGUUUCCUUGUGUUGUCCACACUGACGGGAGACCGUGGAAGUUGCUGAUCGUCAGUGUGGCAUUUUUUUCCCUUCAUUUAUUAGUUGUUAUGGUUUAUUAAUGUUGUAUGUUUGUUGAUGUGAGGGUUAGUAGUAGUUAUUCAUAUUGUAGGUUCAUGUAAUCCUUCUGGGUGAUUUACUGGACCUGUUCAUUGUGAUCGUGUGUAUGCAACUGUGUAACUCUCAUAUGUCUUUUUGUCUAGGUGCUGAGAGCGGCCAGUGGGAGCAGUACCCAGGCGGUGGUGGGUCCCUUGAUGUAUGCAGUGAUUGUGUGUUCACUAGUGUGGUUAAAUUUUUUUGAGGUGUGUGUGAACCCGGCACGUGUGAUUGGGGUGUUUCCCAUGGAUGCUCAUCGUUGGAGCUACUAGUCUCCCACUGGCAAGCUUCAGCACAACACUGU